ACCUAUUAAAAAUAAUUAAAAUAUUGUGAGAAGUCAUAUACAAUUCUUAGCAUAAGGUAAAAAUUAAGUGUAUUAAAAUACACUGAUCCCCAAUCAUAAAAGAGUGAAAAAAAAAAGAAGAAAAAAAAAAGAAAAACAUUAAAAUGGAAAAAGGUGGGAGAUUUCCCCCCUUGGAGUGACACGCGCCCCAUCAUUUUUUUU
rnacentral:lncRNA from 1 species